UUGCAUUUCCUUGUGGUUACCACUUACCAGAAUGAAAUCGAUCAAUCUGAUGCCAUUAAUCUGGUUAAUUCAGGCUGUCGUAUCCUUGUACAAGGGCUUGAUGCAGGACUACUUUGGAUUUUUGUCCCACAAAGGGUUGUGGUGAGCCGGGGUUUGUAAUUUGCAGAAUUAGGGUUGACUAGUUUCGUCAAGCGUAGCUGUGGCCAAAUAUGGUCUCAAAGCUGUGUUGCACUUGCAAUCUAUGUUAGAAAGUUGAAGGUGGAUUGAAAAGACUGGUUGUUGCUGGGGAGCUUGAAUUAAACCAUGAGUGCAAUUUGCUGAACUGGUCACCUGAGGACUUUGAAUCUAAAUUGCAGGAAGCAAUGAAACAGAUCUACCAAAGAGCCCGGAAAGCAGCAAGCGAUUUUGGCUACCAAAAGGAGAGUCCCGAGUAAGCGCCUUAUCAUGUCUAUAUGAGUUGUGAUCCAAGCGACCCAUAGCAAGCAGUUGGGGGAACGAGUGUCAGUCUGAAAAUUCCAACGGCGUUGGUGCACGGAGCUGUCUUCUCUGCUUUUCUAACCAUUGCUCAAGCCAUGUCUGAUCAAGGAUGCGUAUAGAAGCAAGUUGUAUGAUCUCUGAAGAGGGCACUCCUUGGCAUAAAGAUGAUUGAUCAUUAUGUGCACCGUGCGGAUCCUUAAUGCCAGGGAAGGUCCAAGAUCUGUAUCUCGACUUGUGUAGUAU